GGAGGGGUGGCCGAGUGGUUGAAGGCGCACGCCUGGAAAGUGUGUAUAGGGGAAACCCUAUCGCGGGUUCGAAUCCCGCUCCCUCCGCCA
rnacentral:tRNA from 2 species